GAUGAACGCUGGCGGCGUGCUUAACACAUGCAAGUCGAGCGAAGCACUUAGGAGGGAUUCUUCGGAUGAUUUCCUAUUUGACUGAGCGGCGGACGGGUGAGUAACGCGUGGGUAACCUGCCUCAUACAGGGGGAUAACAGUUAGAAAUGACUGCUAAUACCGCAUGAGACCACAGCACCGCAUGGUGCAGGGGUAAAAACUCCGGUGGUAUGAGAUGGACCCGCGUCUGAUUAGUUAGUUGGUGGGGUAACGGCCUACCAAGGCGACGAUCAGUAGCCGACCUGAGAGGGUGACCGGCCACAUUGGGACUGAGACACGGCCCAAACUCCUACGGGAGGCAGCAGUGGGGAAUAUUGCACAAUGGGGGAAACCCUGAUGCAGCGACGCCGCGUGAGCGAAGAAGUAUUUCGGUAUGUAAAGCUCUAUCAGCAGGGAAGAAAAUGACGGUACCUGGCUAAGAAGCCCCGGCUAACUACGUGCCAGCCGCGCAGUAA
rnacentral:rRNA from 1 species